AAGAAACAAGAGCAAAAGAGCAAGAGAUUGAAAAGGGGUCUAGUAGCCCCUUUUAUAGUGAGUCAGGCAUACCUGGCUAUUGCCAGGUAACUGUGGGGCAGAACCUAGACUAAAUGCUAACAUUCCCCAGUUUUGGUUUAAUUAAAAAAGGAAAAAUUAGAAAGAGGCAAUGGUGGAGCAGGAAUAGGGUCAUCAUGAUCUUUAGCUACUUCCUGCUGACUUUGGGAUGAUGUGUCUCUGGUCAUGAUGUGACACUCAUAAAGCUCUGGGUAUUAUACCAGGAUCAAUGAAAUAGAAACCAAUCUUAAACUUGGUUCUUUAUUUCCGUGUAAGUCAAGGUCAGUAUCAUGCCAAAAGCCACAGCCAGGGACUUUCCAUUUGUCAUUUCUCAAGCACCCUGAGAUGAGGUUGGUUGAUAUAAAAGUAAAAUCCCUGAAGGCCAAGAUGAUCUACAAACAAGACUAUAAGUUUUGUGAGCUUUAAAGCAAGAGAAACUUGAUCUUUGUUUAGGCGCAUUCUGCAAAGCAAGGCAAGGCCUGAGGUUCACAUGAGGUUACAGGCAGUUUAGUUAUGGCUCUUAGCCACGCUGCUGAUCUCUGGCCUGGGCUUGUUUAUCGCCUUGACUGUGUUUCAUAAACAUUUCUGGGAAACUCCUGGAGCAGUUGCCAGGCUCACAGAAAUGGAAUGCUGUGUGCACUCUUUGUUCAACUCACUCAGGAAAUUAGGGUGGAGAAUUCAGGACUCUAAGUAAAAGCAUAAUUCUAUGUUAUUUCCUUCUUUUAUCAUUUUUCAAAUGAAUAAACCAUGAAAGGGGCAUGAAGUCAAAGGUUAUGUUGAUUUUCUGAUACUGUUUUACCAAUACCUAACAGUUUCCUUGUCACACAAUAGCUAGCUGUCCAGCCAAGUUCCGGUGGAAUGACUGAGUGCUUCCUCACUGAGGCCUGCCCUACUAGCCAGCUAACGUCAGAACACCCAGGACCACUCUAUACAUGUAGACUGUACAUAAUUGUAGCUUUUCCUCCAAGGAUUCCAGCUGAGCAUCAACUGAAAGUUAGUUCAACCCCUAAAGAGGAAAAGAUCAGAUAGACAACCCUUGUCCUUCUCAUUCACCAUGAGAGAGCCCAGCUAGUAGAUUAAUAAACAAGAAGAGCCCCUUCUCCAUUUCUGGCGAUUUUGAACCGAUAAGAUCUUCAACUCCCUCCUGUAAGAAUGGCCUGGAGAGAGUGCAGCUAAGAGGUUUUGUUAAAUUUCUUUUUGCUUUUAACUGAAAAGUCAGCAACUCAUUCUAAAGAACUCUCAAAAGCUGUUUCUUUGUGAAGUAUUUCAAUGCUUAAAAUAAAUAAAAGGCAAAAAAAUCAGAGAGAACACGAGUUACUGGAGAAAGAUGAGUAAAGACCUUCUUGUACCUUAGGCCGCAGAAUCCAGGAGUUCAAGAGAGAGUAGGUGAAGUGAAAGGGGCUUGACUAGAACAAAGACUUGGUUACUAAUGACAUUUUACGUAUUCAUUAAGUAGAUAGACAUAUCCUGCUAAUGUGGGAUGUUGAUAAUAGAGGAAAUUGGCUGUGGGUAUAUGUAUACAUUAAGCCCUCCUCGAAAUGCUAUUGUGACUUGGCACUGAUCUGAAACAGAAGGGGAAUGACGUGUUACAGUAAAGAAAAAUACAGGCAAGGGCUGUUCAAAGAGGAGAGACUCUAUCUCCGAACUCUAAUGUGUUUCUCUAUCUGCAGCUUCAGAUCAUGGGGCCAACAGACAAUUUUUUAAAGAUUUAUUUAUUUAUCUUAUGUAUAUGAGUACACUGUAGCUGUCUUCAGACACACCAGAAGAGGACAUCAUAUCCUAUUACAGAUGGUUGUGAGCCACCAUGUGGUUGUGGGGAAUUGAACUCAGGACCUCUGGAAGAGCAGUCAGUGCUCUUAACUGCUGAGCCAUCUCUCCAGUCCCAGAAGUGUAUAUUCUAAAGGAUGUCAUACCCUUAAAUGGAAAUGAAUGAGUUUCCCAGGCUCUGGUGUAACCUACAGUUACCCUGAGUUGUUACCCUGAGAAAAUCUCCUUUUAAAGAUUCAAAGUUUUAACCCAAUUGCAUGUCUGGAAUUUAAACUGUCAUUUUGGCUCUGUAAAUCACAGAUUACAGCCCUCCCUCAACACUGACUGGCCUCGUAGCUUUUCCUUGAAGUUCUUGUGGACCCCCUCGUUGACCCAAGAAUGAUAUCCUAUUCUGUAUCUAUGCAAAAUCAGAAUCACAUGUCUGCUCUCAUGCUCUACCAUCAGCACAGACUGUCCUUGGAUCAGCUCGGACGAGGACUGCGUGUAAGUGGCAAACAAAAUGAACUGUCACAAGUCCAGUUUGUCAAGAAGCUCAAGAAGAAGGAUGACCAAAAUGUGGAUGCUCCCACUCCUUCUUAAAAGGGGAAAGAAAUAUCCAUAGGAGGGGAUAUGGAAGCAACGUUUACAGCAGAGACUGAAGGAACAGCCAUUCAGAGCCUGCUCCACAUGUGGCCCAUAUAUAUCCAGCCACCAAAACUGGUAAAAAUGCUAAAAAGAGCAUGCUGAAAGGGACCAGAUAUAAAUCUCUCCUGAGAGACAUAUCCAGAGCAUGUCCAAUACAGAGAUCAAUGCUAGCACAAACCAUUGAACUGAGAACAGGACCCCCUUUGGGGGAAUCAGAGGAAGGUUUGAAAGAGCUGAAGGAACUUGCAACCCCAUAAUAACAAUAAUGCCAACCAACCAGAGCUUCCAGGGACUAAACUACAUCCAAAAGACUGUCCAUGGACUGACCCAAG
ensembl:lncRNA LOC100909928 uncharacterized LOC100909928